AACGAACGCUGGCGGCAGGCCUAACACAUGCAAGUCGAGCGCUGUAGCAAUACAGAGCGGCGCACGGGAGAGUAACGCGUGGGAACCUACCUUUUGGUUUGGGAUAACACCGGGAAACUGGUGCUAAUACCGGAUAAGCCCAACUUCAGAAAGCAGAAGACAGAAAACAGGGAUCAGAAAUGAACUGAUGCCUGAAAACGGGAGAUCGAAUAUCAGAAAGCAAAAAUCNGAUACCUGAUCCCUGUCCUCUGUUUCCUGAAGUUGGGGAAAGAUUUAUCGCCAUUAGAUGGGCCCGCGUUGGAUUAGCUAGUUGGUGAGGUAACGGCUCACCAAGGCUACGAUCCAUAGCUGGUCUGAGAGGAUGAUCA
rnacentral:rRNA from 1 species